UGGAAAUUGAAGGGAAAGAUGCAGAUGUAAAGAUAAAAGCUAUUGAUGGUUUGAGAACUGCGAGUAUCAUUGGAAUGACAAACCCAAUCAUGAAAGCCAUACUUGCCAAUGAUGACAACAUUUACUGUGGAUAUUGGAAGCUGAUCAAUAUACCUUUUCUUCAAAUGAAACAUGAUAAAUAGAAAUCUAUGCACGUAAUCAGCAGCUGAAUAAACUUUUAAUGAACCAUCUUUCUAAUACCGAUCUUAAUGGUUGAAUAAAGUUGUGCAGCUUCAUAG
rnacentral:misc_RNA from 1 species